rnacentral:lncRNA from 1 species
GGGUGGUCAGCUCAAACGACUAUUUGAUUGGUUUAAAAGUAUGGGCGGAGUCUCCUGGCGGCGUUGAGAAGUGCUAAUGUGACCUUCUCCACCUGUUGGUAACGUGAUUCUGCCUCUUGCAGAACUCUACUUACAAAGUAAAUCAGUCGGACAUCCAGUUGUUCCUGUACCAGGGCGGCGCUGAUGGCAUUAGCAGACACUCCCAAGUAUACUUGUAAGUCCCCACUCGGAUGAGGUCGAUUCAUUACCGGCG